GGUACUAACGAAAACCACAGCAUAUGCCAAUUAAAUACCAACGUUUGUAAACAAUUGUAAACAAAGGUAUCUGAUGAAAGGUAAAUAUGGCAAACACCAACUUGAAUUAUUGUAGCUCUUCCGUAAAUUUGUAAGUAUAAUGAAAAAGUACUUGUGUGUGUUCAUACCUCAUAUUUCCUGUUUUUUGAUUAGAUAUAGAGUGGUGAGUACUCCCAUGUAUUCAUGGCCCCCAGAGCAGCAUUGUCAGAGAAAUGGCAGAAAGCGCUCAAGGCAAUUAAAGCAAGGGUCUGCCUUUUGGCAAUGGACGAGGCUCACUGUAUGAUAGUAUGGGGAAGCACAUUUUGACCAGCAUAGUGGGGAUGGUAGCCAUCCUCAGUGGAGUGCCAGUGUGCUGUCUUACUGCUACAUGCACCUCUGAGAUGCAGAAGGAAAUGUGUGGAGUACUGGGGAUGGACCUGCAGCAUUGCACCCACAUAACAGUCAUACCAAGCAGGACCCAACAGUAGCCGCUCCAUGUAUUUAGUAGAGUCAUCGAUCAGAUUGGUGUACACAACCUGUUUGGUGGAAAUCUUCCAUCAUGGGAUAGGAAAGACGUCAGAGCAAGACAUCCCUACAUCCUUCAAGUAGCCAAAAGGACCCUGCCGCCUACUGAUCGCUACCAUUGAGUUUGUCCUUGGUAUGGAUGUCCCUGAUGUUGAGUUCAUUAUACACUGGGGCCCUGC